AUGUUUCUGGAGGAGAUGAAGAGAGACACGCCAGACUUUGGUGAGAAGACGUCUCUCUCUCCUCUUCCUCCACCUCAUCUCGCUCUUCUCUUCUCUUCCUCCACCUCAUCUCUCUCUCCUCUUCCUCCACCUCAUCUCUCUCUCCUCUUCCUUCACCUCAUCUAUUUAUCCUCUUAUCUCUCUCCUCUUCCUCCACCUCAUCUCUUUCUCCUCAGCCUUCACCUCAUCUCUCUCCUCUUCCUCCACCUCAUCUCUUUCUCCUCAUCCUUCACCUCAUCUCUCUCCUCUUCCUUCACCUCAUCUCAUCUCUCUCCUCCCUCUUCCUUCACCUCAUCUCUCUCCUCUUCCUCCACCUCAUCUCUCUCCUCUUCCUUCACCUCAUCUCUCUCUCCUCUUCCUUCACCUCAUCUCAUCUCUCUCCCCUCUUCCUUCACCUCAUCUCUCUCUCCUCUUCCUCCACCUCAUCUCGCUCUUCUCUUCUCUUCCUCCACCUCAUCUCUCUCUCCUCUUCCUCCACCUCAUCUCUCUCUCCUCUUCCUUCACCUCAUCUAUUUAUCCUCUUAUCUCUCUCCUCUUCCUCCACCUCAUCUCUUUCUCCUCAUCCUUCACCUCAUCUCUCUCCUCUUCCUCCACCUCAUCUCUUUCUCCUCAUCCUUCACCUCAUCUCUCUCCUCUUCCUUCACCUCAUCUCAUCUCUCUCCCCUCUUCCUUCACCUCAUCUCUCUCCUCUUCCUCCACCUCAUCUCUCUCCUCUUCCUUCACCUCAUCUCUCUCCUCUUCCUUCACCUCAUCUCUCUCUCCUCUUCCUUCACCUCAUCUCUCUCUCCUCUUCAUUCACCUCAUCUCUCUCCUCUUUCUUCACCUCAUCUCUCUCCUCUUUCUUCACCUCAUCUCUCUCCUCUUCCUUCAACUCAUCUCUCUCUCCUCUUCCUCCAUCUCAUAUCUCUCUCCUCUUCCUUCAUCUCAUCUCUCUCCCCUCUUCCUCCACCUCAUCUCUCUCCCCUCUUCCUUCACCUCAUCUCUCUCUCCUCUUCCUUCACCUCAUCUCAUCUCUCUCCCCUCUUCCUUCACCUCAUCUCUCUCUCCUCUUCAUUCACCUCAUCUCUCUCCUCUUUCUUCACCUCAUCUCUCUCCUCUUUCUUCACCUCAUCUCUCUCCUCUUCCUUCAACUCAUCUCUCUCUCCUCUUCCUCCAUCUCAUAUCUCUCUCCUCUUCCUUCAUCUCAUCUCUCUCUCCUCUUCAUUCACCUCAUCUCUCUCUCCUCUUCCUUCACCUCAUCUCUCUCCUCUUCCUUCAACUCAUCUCUCUCUCCUCUUCCUUCAUCUCAUCUCUCUCCCUUCUUCCUUCACCUCAUCUCUCUCUCCUCUUCCUUCACCUCAUCUCUCUCUCCUCUUCAUUCACCUCAUCUCUCUCCUCUUUCUUCACCUCAUCUCUCUCCUCUUUCUUCACCUCAUCUCUCUCCUCUUCCUUCAACUCAUCUCUCUCUCCUCUUCCUCCAUCUCAUAUCUCUCUCCUCUUCCUUCAUCUCAUCUCUCUCCCCUCUUCCUCCACCUCAUCUCUCUCCCCUCUUCCUCCACCUCAUCUCUCUCCUCUUCCACCACUUCAUCUCUCUCCCCUCUUCCUCCACCUCAUCUCUCUCCCCUCUUCCUCCACCUCAUCUCUCUCCUCUUCCACCACUUCAUCUCUCUCCCCUCUUCCUCCACCUCAUCUCUCUCCCCUCUUCCUCCACUUCAUCUCUCUCCUCUUCCUCCACCUCAUCUCUCUCCUCUCCUCUUCCUUCACCUCAUCUCUCUCCCCUCUUCCUCCACCUCAUCUCUCUCCUCUUCCUCCACCUCAUCUCUCUCCCCUCUUCCUCCACCUCAUCUCUCUCCCCUCUUCCUCCACCUCAUCUCUCCAUCUUUCUCUCCUGUGUGUGUUUCCCCUGUCUGUUGUUCUACCAGGUUGGAAGUUUGGAGGGGUGUUUGGUCGUGCAGGGGCGUUCCCGACAGAUUGUGUCCGUCCCGUUGCUGCCCCUGA
ensembl:lncRNA